AUCUACGGCCACACCACCCUGAAUGCGUCUGAUGUCAUCUAAUCUCAGAAGCUAAGCAGGGUCGGGCCUGGGUAGUACUUGUCUGGGAGAAAUUAUUGCAAAUCUAUAAGAUUAUGGUGGGUU
rnacentral:rRNA from 1 species